rfam:Oryza nivara chromosome 3, whole genome shotgun sequence.
ACGACCUUACUUGAACAGGAUCUGUUCUAUAGGCUCGUACCGUUGCAUCCUUGACUGAUAAGGAGGCAAGCACUCAUGCUUGGUUGAUGACGCAUGACCUGUGGGCCAGAGCGUGAUUGACGGCCCGGAUCAUUUCCGUGUGAAUUGAUCCCACGGCUGUAGAGGAUCGUUCCUUUCCGGGCUUCGCUUGGUCAGGGUUGGCCCAUAGGUUGUCUGACAGGCA